GCUGGGGCGUCUGGUCCUCGCGUCUGCGUUUCUCUUACUACAAAAAGGAGACACAUCUGUAGUAAAACCUAAUUUCAGUAAAAUAAAUUAGGGCACAAAGUCUAUAAAAUGAAAGCGAAGCGCCCUCGCGGCUCAAGCCAGUAAGGAGGAACAAACAGAGCGAGGAGCGCCGAGCGGAAAUGGUGACUAUUGUCAGCGUCGCUGCUGCUGCGCUCCGAGGCCCGCCCGCCGCAGGGCCGACUACGGGGCGCGGCUGCCCGGACUCCGCCCUGCGGCCCCGCGGGGGCUGCUCGGCGCCGGGGCGCGGCGCGGGAGGGGCGAGGGAACGCCCCCGGGGCACCGAGGCUCCACCCGCCGCCCGCCCGCGCGCCCCUCUUUGUUCACGGCCUGCCCUCGCUCCACCGCGGGUGGCUUUGCAAAGCCCCGCGCGCCCGCCAUCUCCCUUCACCUCGCCGGGCACCCGGGGAGAAAAGCGGGCGGGCGUUGUUGCCCGUUUUCCCAGCUGGGAAAACUGCGGUCCCGGAGGUGGAGUGACCGGCUCCAGGCCAGAGAGCAGAGCCAGGGCCGGAACUCAGGUCUGCUGUGUCCAGCCGGCGCCUCCUGCAGAUGUCAAAGUUGCUGGCGGGCGCGGUGGGCGCCCCUCCCGUGCCCCCUGCCUCUCCGGGCCCCGCCGGGUGUCGCGGUCUCGCGGGCAGCUCCCGGGCCCCUCCCCAAGCCCCCGCGUCGUCCUCUCCUUGGGAAGGCUGAGGCCAGGGUCAGGGAAGGGCCGCCCCAGUCGCUGGGUGGGUGCGUGGGGGUCGGGGGAUGGUUUGGUUGAUGACUCUCCAGCACCCCUUGGUCUUAAAAAAUAUCUCCCUUGUUUACAAAGCCCAGAGACACAGCUUUCUGCACUGUGAAACCAGAAAAUCCAGGCAUAGUAGGAGAGAAUUCCAUGUGAGCCCAGGGCUUCCAGGCCAGGGGCAGAAGCAGGACAGACCCAGCUCAGGAACCCAGGGGGGUUGCAGGGCCUGGAGGAAUGACCUGACAGCAGAGGAUCCACUUGGGUCUCCAUUGGAGAGAAGGUUGGCCAGGUGGUCUGAAGGGCUGGCACAGGAUUCCAGAGGUACAGGGGCUGAAAUCUGAGGGGAAGAGUUCCUGUUGAUCUGAGGUGAAGGCAUGUUGACUUGGUGUCGAACAAAAGGCUGGCAGUGAGCUGAGGUGGGAGGCGGCUGGGACCGUGGAUUUGGGACUUUGGGGCACUAGGUGGGACCAGGCACAGCUCUCAAACUCAAUUUGGAAUCAAACAGGUGAUGGGAAGGAAGGUGCUUUGAAACCCUGAAAGCCCUCACCCAGGUUCAGAGCCUCCCAGGAUGCCCUGCCCAGCUGUACCAGUGCCCCAGGCCUGUGCCUCUCUCCAGCAGCUGCAGUUGCCCCGGUCUCUCAGGACUGGAGCUCAGACUUGACUUGAAAAUAAAUGAAUGAAUUUGCAGCAGUACAUUAGUCCCUACCUUCAGUUCCUAGCAUUUAUGUGAUGUUGACUCUCCUCCACUGAGCUUGAGACCUGUUCCCUCCCCUGGAAUCAGGGUGGGCCUGUGACUACUUUGGAAUUGGUGUUCCGUGAUGCUGCAGCUUCCACUGGCAUUCUCUCUUUGCGGACGUGGCUUCCUGGGAUCCCUUAGCCAACACGUAGAACUCUAAUACACCAUGUAACAGAGGAGCCCAGGACCAAGGAUCACCAGCAGCCAGCCCCAGAAUGCCAGUCUUCUGGAAGAAAGCAAGCCUUUAUGAGGCCUUGAUGUGGUCUUCUCCUGGCCUCCAAACAGUGAACCAUUAAAUUUCCAUUGUUUAACCCAACCCAUUGCAUGGUAUUUGCUUGAGCUGCCAAGGAAACUAAGACAGGGGAUGAUGAGAAUUUUAGCAGA